AGACAUUGUUGCACCUGUGCCUUCACCCAGUGAUGCACCUGUUAAGCUUUGCAAAGAUUGCUCAAGCUCCCAGCAAGCCAUUACAGCCUCCAUAGCAUGAACUCGAACAUGUUGUUGCAAUUGGUCUUUAAAGGAACAGAGUAAUAGAACAUAAUGUGUCUACAUCAGAAAGAACCCCAAAAAAAUGUGGAAGGGUAAGGAGAUUUAGAUGGAAAGAACAAAAUGUUAACAUAUAAGCAUUUGAGUUAGAAGAAAGGGUAAAAAGACGUAAUUGUAAUAUGCAUGCAUCAUGAAAAAAUGUAACUUUUAUAGAACUCAUAAAAUCAUUGAGUUUGAGGUGAAUCCACACUUUUAUAUUAUGUAUAUGGAUACCAUGCAGCAAACCAUGUUACUGCCAUAGAAAGUCUCAUACUACUAGCCCAAUUUACAGAAUCAAAAGGGAUAAAAGGGGACUGAUAGGAUGUGAAAGUAAUAUCAGUUAAUAUUCACCUUCAUCACCAACAAUCUCAUUAACGUAUAGUGAACUGGAACAGGGAUUACUUACAAAGGAAUUAUUUGUUCUACGAAAAUACGAAUAUGAUAUAUAAUGAAUUGGUAAUUUCUCAAAAAACUACCAACUUUAGUUUUAAAUGUACAUUUAAAAUUUAAGUGACAACCUUCCGAAUAAAAUUGAGUUCGACAAAAGUAAAACACCACUAUCAUUAAUGCUAAAAUCAAAUAAACUUCUUUGCUUCUCGUAUGCAUUGUGGCAAAAGUUACCAUCAGGCCAGCCAAAACCUAAUUGAUUGUAGUCUGAUACUUCACAUUAACAAAAAUUCAGGCCAAGGGCAAAGAAAAAAAAUUGGCUAAGCUUAUUUUAUUUGGUGAUUCAUUCCAGGAACAACUCAGCCCAGCUCAGCAUAAAUUACUUCUAUACUAAUGACUUGGUCUGAUGACUGCAAAGAGGGGAGUAUACUUUUUCCAUUAACAAAAUUUUUAUUAUAGAAAGAAACUAGGGGCUCCAGAAUAUUUAUUCCAUCAUCAUAAAGCAGGAAAGGUUAAACAAUAUGCCACAUGAAAACUAUUAAAGAAAAUUCACUGCCACCUAAUAUUAAAAAUAAAUUUAUUCCUACCUAAAUUUAUCAUUAAACUUUAUCAUAUAAGUUUAGUUCAAAUUAAACCUAAUUUAGAAAAAAAAUCCAUUAAGGAUGCAAUUAGCUUUAAUUUAUAAUUCUACAUGUAAAAACAUAAGAGAAACAAAAAUAAAAAAUAAUAAAAGAAGAAGAAGAAAAGUUAGAAGAAUUUAUCAGGUGUUUCAAAAAAAUGUGUUUGGAUAGAUGAGUGGCAUUCCUGCUUUACAGCACAAACUUGUGGCCCAGUGGUGCUAAACCUGCCCCACGGUAAAAUGAGUGAUGUGCAACUAAGCAUUAAUCAAGGAUUAAGAGAUGCUUCAUCUUUAUCAAUCCAUUUUGAUAUGCAGUGAAUGGCAACUUUCAAUGGUGACCCAUGACAACAACUCUGAACCUUUAAUUCUUUUGAAUUUAUGAGCUAUAAAUACAUGAACCUUUAAUUCUUUUGAAUUUAUGAGCUAUAAAUACA
rnacentral:misc_RNA from 1 species